UUGAUGCAUAAAUUCGAUCAAUAUUCUGAUCUCUACUGUUUGGAAAUUUACAAUAUUAAAUUACAGAGAAGGAAGGAAGGGUGAAAGAAAUGGCAAAAACAACAAUGCAUCGGGCAAUAGCAAACAUUCAUGGAAGAAAUGGCGGAAAUGAUAAUGCAUCGGGCAACAUUCAUGGCGAUGAUGGUCCAUCUUCAGUCAACAGGAAAGAAUAUAGAGAAAAAAAAAUCCAACAAAAAAAAAAUAAUAAAAAAAAUCGGCAAGGAAUAUUAUUUUCAUAUGUCGUUGAUGAAAUGAUAUACCUUGUCUAUUAUGAAUAAAGUAAAUUACAUAUUAUGAUCAAUAUAAAAGUUUUCAAAGUAUUUUGUUUUUUCUAAAAACUCAAGCUACUAUAAUGAAUUUCUCAUACCAUUUUUUUUUUACUCUUUUCAUAAAAAAAAAACUCAAACCACUAUAAUAACAUAUUUUAUAAUUUUUAAAAUAAUUAAAUAAAGAGAGAAAAAAUAAAAUUAUGUGUAGAUGGGUAGAGGAUGACAGGCAUUGUUGGUAGGAAGAGCUCAAGACUUGAUAGUAAUGAUCCAACUGCGCCAAAAAAAAGAGAGCUCACCAUUUGUUGUGGCGCUUCAACCGGAAAUGCUCCUCCCUAACAUUGCCCUUCGCAAAAUAUCGGCUGAUACACCAAAAGAAACCCAUCAAAAUCAAAACUUUCUGAAUCAAAUCAUCAAAUUGAAUCAUCCCGACUUCCAAACACCAUAAAACUUAAAAACUUUUCGAAUCAAAUCACCUCAAUUUCAAAUCUUACUCGCAGUGGACGCAAUUGAACUGCCCCAUCCCUGGAAGGUCCUCAUCCUGCGGCAGCAGCUUUGGCUCCUCCCCCUCCGCCAACUUCAGUAUCUCGCUAUACAUUGCAUCAUUGACAGAUCGAUCACCCCAAAUCAAUUUGAGUUAAAGAAGAAACAAAAAUAGGAGAUAUAGAUGGAUCAAUCAAUCGAAAUAAAAAAGGAGAUUAGAGCCAAAAAAAAGAAGAUAUCUUUGUGGAGGAAUUUGAUCAUCAAGCGCUCUCGUGGGAAAAUCUCCGCUUCUUCACCAAAAUUGCUGCGGACAUAGGUGAGAUGAGGGGAGAGGGAGAGAUGCCUGUUGUCUGUUUGGGAGAUAGAGGGAAGUUAAAGAGAUGGGAGAAAGAAAGAAAGCGGAGAGAAAGAAAGCUGAAGGAAUUAGAGGUGAGAGAAGAAGAAAGGAAUAGAGCGAAAGAUAUAGUAAAAAAAUAGAGAGAGAUGAAAUUUUUA
rnacentral:lncRNA from 1 species